GAUGAACGCUGGCGGCGUGCCUAAUACAUGCAAGUCGAGCGAACGGACGAGAAGCUUGCUCCUCUGAUGUUAUCGGCGGACGGGUGCGUCACACGUGGAUAACCUACCUAUAAGACUGGGAUAACUUCGGCAAACCGGAGCUUAUAACGGAUAAUAUUUUGACCCGCAUGGUUCAAAAGUGAAAGACGGUAUUGCUUUCACUUAUAGAUGGAUCCGCACUGCAUUCACUAGUUGGUAAGGUAACGGGUUACCAAGGCAACGAUGCAUAAACGACCCGAAGGGGAGGUUGCACAGCCGGUAACAGAGGAUGGGUACAGACUCCUGCGGUGGGCAACGGUAGGGAAUCUUACGCGAGGGGCGAGAGCCUGACGGAGCAACGCCGCGUGAGUGAUGAAGGUCUUCGGAUCGUUAAACUCUGUUAGUAUGAAGGAAGAUAUGUGUAAGUAACUGUGAACAUCUUGACGGUACCGAAUCAGAAAGCCACGGCUAACUACGUG
rnacentral:rRNA from 1 species